GUUGAAACGCCGGUACCCGUACGAUCACCCAAGUUAAGCAACGUCGAGCCUGGUCAGUACCUAGAUAGGUGACCUCUUGGGAAUGCCAGAUGUUGUAAG